AUUAUCGGCCUAAAGCAUGCUCCAAACGGUUAAAUAAUAACUUAAAAUAAGGAAGCAUCUUAAGGUCUAACUCAUUUUCACGUAAUUUCACCUCCCAUGUUCAAAAUCACAUGAGCCAAACAACAGGGAGCAGAUUAUCCAAAAGAAAACACAUGAAUUAUGAAAGAUCUAACAGUUAAUUGUUCAAAUACGGGACCAAUGAAUAACUAAUGGAAAAACAAAUAACUACUAUUUGAACAACUAGCAGACAAGAGACAUAUAGCAAAGUGAACAUGAAAUGAAGCGAUAAAAAUUGGCCAAUGUAACAGAGAAUCAGGUCUUCAACACCGUUUCAUAUUCGUCAACUUAAAGAUUACCCACAGCUAAGACUAAUUAAGUAUUUCUAUUAGAAUGAAACCUCAAAUUUAGUUAUAAUGUAGAAAGCAGUGUAAGCCAAGUCUAACAAUCAUCAAGAGAGCAGUAGUAUAUUUGUUCUAGGAAAUUAAUGAGAUCUAAAUGAGUCCAAGAUCAUCAACCAGAAAUCUCAAUGACGUAAAACCAUU
rnacentral:lncRNA from 1 species